UGAAAAGCUAUGAUGGGAAACCCAGUAGUAGUUAUCUCCCUGUUAACAAAGAGUCGAUGGAUGGUGCAAAUCGAUACAAAGAUAACACGAAUUACAUUCCUUGAGUUUUCUUUGUGAAACAAGUAGCAAAGAACGGACGAGCCGUUAAUCGUUGAGUGGAGGGAUUAUGUUAUCAAUUAGGGUGGUACCGCGUGAACAAGAAGACCACGUCCCUUUU
rnacentral:ncRNA from 1 species